rnacentral:rRNA from 1 species
GACGAACGCUGGCGGCGUGCUUAACACAUGCCAGUCGAACGGAAAGGCCCUGCUUUUGUGGGGUGCUCGAGUGGCGAACGGGUGAGUAACACGUGAGUAACCUGCCCUUGACUUUGGGAUAACUUCAGGAAACUGGGGCUAAUACCGGAUAGGAGCUCCUGCUGCAUGGUGGGGGUUGGAAAGUUUCGGCGUUUGGGGAUGGACUCGCGGCUUAUCAGCUUGUGGGUGGGGUAGUGGCUUACCAAGGCUUUGACGGGUAGCCGGCCUGAGAGGGUGACCGGCCACAUUGGGACUGAGAUACGGCCCAGACUCCUACGGGAGGCAGCAGUGGGGAAUAUUGCACAAUGGGCGGAAGCCUGAUGCAGCAACGCCGCGUGCGGGAUGACGGCCUUCGGGUUGUAAACCGCUUUCGCCUGUGACGAAGCGUGAGUGACGGUAAUGGGUAAAGAAGCACCGGCUAACUACGUG